rnacentral:lncRNA from 1 species
AGGCAAAAGCAUAGAAAAAUCGGCAGAAAGAUAGGAAGAAAGGAAGAGGAAAAGAGAAGAAAGGGAGGAAAAAAAUGGAAAAAAGGAAGGAAGAAAAAGAAAAAGGAAACAUGAGGAAGAAGAAGAAACCUAGGAAGAAGCAGCCACAAUUCUCAGCUGACAUAUUUCACUUUCUUGCUAGGAAUUAACUAUCUAUUAGGGCUAAAGUAUGAGGUGAGAAGGGAUUUUUUUGAGUUUAAGAGUGUGUUCCUUCAGGUGCUUAUAGUUAGCAGUUAAAAUCUUGGCUUCGUUUAUUAGGUUUUAACAAAAAGGAGGCUAUCAUACAAAAUCAGCAAGAAGAGUUAAAGGGAGUUAAAUUUGGUAAGUUUAUUGUACUUGAGUGUGUUAGGGAUGAGAUAAGUAAAAGUAGCUUGAAAUCUAUUGGAGGAGACAUACAGGGAAUGAAAUGGGAUUAUCAGGAUGUGUACAUGUAUUUUCCUUAGAAUAAAGGAGUGGGUAAUGGACAAUGGACUUAUAUGUGGGGGUUACUUUUUAAAAUAACCAAGUCAAAACACCAAUUUU